UACGUAGGGGGCGAGCGUUGUUCGGAAUUAUUGGGCGUAAAGGGUGCGUAGGCGGUGCGGUAAGUCUGUUGUGAAAUCUCCGGGCUCAACUCGGAGUCUGCAUCAGAAACUGCCGUGCUGAAGUGUGGGAGAGGUGAGUGGAAUUCCCGGUGUAGCGGUGAAAUGCGUAGAGAUCGGGAGGAACACCUGCGGCGAAAGCGGCUCACUGGACCAUAACUGACACUGAUGCACGAAAGCUAGGGGAGCAAACAGG
rnacentral:rRNA from 1 species